rnacentral:rRNA from 1 species
UGCGUAGGUGGUUUCUUAAGUCAGAGGUGAAAGGCUACGGCUCAACCGUAGUAAGCCUUUGAAACUGAGAAACUUGAGUGCAGGAGAGGAGAGUAGAAUUCCUAGUGUAGCGGUGAAAUGCGUAGAUAUUAGGAGGAAUACCAGUUGCGAAGGCGGCUCUCUGGACUGUAACUGACACUGAGGUGCGAAAGCGUGGGGAGCAAACA